rnacentral:rRNA from 1 species
GACGAACGCUGGCGGCGUGCCUAAUACAUGCAAGUAGAACGCUGAAGGAGGAGCUUGCUUCUCUGGAUGAGUUGCGAACGGGUGAGUAACGCGUAGGUAACCUGCCUGGUAGCGGGGGAUAACUAUUGGAAACGAUAGCUAAUACCGCAUAAUAGCAGUUAUUGCAUGAUAACUGUUUGAAAGGUGCAAUUGCACCACUACCAGAUGGACCUGCGUUGUAUUAGCUAGUUGGUGGGGUAACGGCUCACCAAGGCGACGAUACAUAGCCGACCUGAGAGGGUGAUCGGCCACACUGGGACUGAGACACGGCCCAGACUCCUACGGGAGGCAGCAGUAGGGAAUCUUCGGCAAUGGACGGAAGUCUGACCGAGCAACGCCGCGUGAGUGAAGAAGGUUUUCGGAUCGUAAAGCUCUGUUGUAAGAGAAGAACGAGUGUGAGAGNGGAAAGUUCACACNGNGACGG